CCUACGGGUGGCUGCAGUGAGGAAUAUUGGUCAAUGGGCGGGAGCCUGAACCAGCCAAGUCGCGUGAGGGACGACGGUCCUAUGGAUUGUAAACCUCUUUUGUCGGGGAACAAAGGCGCCCAAGGGUGGGCGGAUGAGUGUAACCGAAGAAAAAGCAUCGGCUAACUCAGUGCCAGCAGCCGCGGUAAUACGGAGGAUGCGAGCGUUAUCCGGAUUUAUUGGGUUGAAAGGGUGCGUCGGCGGACAGUCAAGUGAGCGGUAAAAAUGCGGUGCUCAACGACGUCCAGCCGUUGAAACUUGCAGUCUUGAUUGGGCGAGAAGUAUGCGGAAUGCGUGGUGUAGCGGUGAAAUGCAUAGAUAUCACGCAGAACUCCGAUUGCGAAGGCAGCAUACCGGCGCCCGACUGACGCUGAGGCACGAAAGCGUGGGUAUCGAACAGGAUUAGAUACCCGGGUAGUC
rnacentral:rRNA from 1 species